rnacentral:rRNA from 1 species
AUACNUGCAGUCGACGCUUUGUCUUUAACUGAUNNGANNGAGCUUGCUCUGAUUUGAUUUUAUCUGACAAAGAGUGGCGAACGGGUGAGUAACACGUGGGUAACCUACCUCUUAGCAGGGGAUAACAUUUGGAAACAAGUGCUAAUACCGUAUAAUACCAACAACCGCAUGGUUGUUGGUUGAAAGAUGGUUCUGCUAUCACUAAGAGAUGGACCCGCGGUGCAUUAGCUAGUUGGUAAGGUAACGGCUUACCAAGGCAAUGAUGCAUAGCCGAGUUGAGAGACUGAUCGGCCACAAUGGGACUGAGACACGGCCCAUACUCCUACGGGAGGCAGCAGUAGGGAAUCUUCCACAAUGGGCGCAAGCCUGAUGGAGCAACGCCGCGUGUGUGAUGAAGGGUUUCGGCUCGUAAAACACUGUUAUAAGAGAAGAACGGCACUGAGAGUAACUGUUCAGUGUGUGACGGUAUCUUACCAGAAAGGAACGGCUAAAUACGUGCCAG